AUUCACAUUUUCACACAGUUUUCAACUACAGAGUUGAUUGAGUGACUACACAGAGUAGUCUGAGUUCCAGAGGGAACUACUUGUUCCUGCUACGACUGGUAUCUCUAGUUUUAGUGGGAAGAUGUGACGGGACGGUAGAAAAUCCAUUCGGGUUUGCUUAUCGUCAUCCCUCAGGGUCAGCUGGCUAAGCGAUAGAGGCAAUCAAUUGGUCAGUUGACUUUGAGGGCGUUACACCCUACCCCGCCGGAUCCUCAUUCUACUAGUCACUAGUAGUUUGAAGAGUACCCGGGUAAGCCCAUGCCAAUACGGAUCAGUAUGGAAUGGAUUUAGGUUUUAGGGUUUAGUAACCCUUUAGGGUUAAUAUUAUUCUAUAACUAGAUCCUACUUGCAUACUGUUCCACGUGGUUAUGGGAUGUUCCUUAUGAUACUUGGUAGAUUAAGGAGCUUUAUCAUGGGAAACCUUUUGGGAGUACCAUGAUCAGUAAAAAACGUGCCAAACUGGUUACUCUGUAGUUACGUAAUUACUUUAAUUAUUGUAAUUGCAUUGUAAUCACUUGGUUACAUUAUAAAUUUUAAACUUUCAGCGGUGGAUGUCUUGGCUCACACAACGAUGAAGGACGCAGCGAAGUGCGAUAAGCAUUGUGACUUGCAGACUUCUGCGAAUCAACAGAUUUCUGAACGUAUUAGACACACCACCUCUGCUUGCACGUGGUACUCCCAUUUCAGUGAACCUCAAAUUCCUAUCCCAACCCAAUAACAACAUACUACUGAGUGUGUGAUAGUGUGACUUAUGGUUAACACUAUUAACUCAGUUACCACUAUGUUAGGUUGGGAUGUGAGUGAGAACCUGUGUGUAUAGGGUUUUCGAUUUUAGGCUCUGGUCGCUAGUUGUUGAUGAGUGAAACUAAGCUGUAUGCAAGUACUCUAUGUUUUACAAUGCAGUGGCUAGUGGACUAUAGAGUCCCAAGUGGAUUUGGCAGUGUCAACAGCAACUGAUAAAUUACCAGGUUGUGUAAUAACUAACUCAGUCAGUUGAUAUUACAUACUAUGGUUAUUUGUU
rnacentral:rRNA from 1 species